GCUGGCGGCAGGCCUAAUACAUGCAAGUCGAACGGCAGCACAGUGGAGCUUGCUCCAUGGGUGGCGAGUGGCGGACGGGUGAGGAAUACAUGGGAAUCUGCCCAGUCGUGGGGGAUAACGUAGGGAAACUUACGCUAAUACCGCAUGCGCCCUUCGGGGGAAAGCCGGGGACCUUCGGGCCUGGCGCGAUUGGAUGAGCCCAUGUCGGAUUAGCUAGUUGGCGGGGUAACGGCCCACCAAGGCGACGAUCCGUAGCUGGUCUGAGAGGAUGAUCAGCCACACUGGAACUGAGACACGGUCCAGACUCCUACGGGAGGCAGCAGUAGGGAAUAUUGGACAAUGGGCGCAAGCCUGAUCCAGCCAUGCCGCGUGAGUGAAGAAGGCCCUCGGGUUGUAAAGCUCUUUUGUCCGGAAAGAAAAGCAUCGGGUUAAUACCCCGGUGUUCUGACGGUACCGGAAGAAUAAGCACCGGCUAACUUCGUGCCAGCAGCCGCGGUAAUACGAAGGGUGCAAGCGUUACUCGGAAUUACUGGGCGUAAAGCGUGCGUAGGUGGUUCGUUAAGUCCGAUGUGAAAGCCCUGGGCUCAACCUGGGAAUGGCAUUGGAUACUGGCGGGCUAGAGUGCGGUAGAGGAUAGUGGAAUUCCUGGUGUAGCAGUGAAAUGCGUAGAGAUCAGGAGGAACAUCCGUGGCGAAGGCGACUGUCUGGACCAGCACUACACUAGC
rnacentral:rRNA from 1 species